rnacentral:rRNA from 1 species
UAACCUGCCCAAGAGAUCGGGAUAACACCUGGGAACAGAUGCUAAUACCGGAUAACAACAGAUGAUGCCUAUCAACUGUUUAAAAGAUGGUUCUGCUAUCACUCUUGGAUGGACCUGCGGUGCAUUAGCUAGUUGGUAGGGUAACGGCCUACCAAGGCGAUGAUGCAUAGCCGAGUUGAGAGACUGAUCGGCCACAUUGGGACUGAUACACGGCCCAAACUCCUACGGGAGGCAGCAGAA